rnacentral:rRNA from 1 species
AUUAAAAACCAAUGCCCUUCGGGGCUCUUUGGUGAAUCAUAAUAACUUAACGAAUCGCAUGGCCUUGCGCCGGCGAUGGUUCAUUCAAACUUCUGCCCUAUCAACUUUCGAUUGUAAGGUAGAGGCUUACAAUGGUGUCGACGGGUAACGGGGAAUUAGGGUUCGAUUCCGGAGAGGGAGCCUGAGAAACGGGUAAGUUACACUCUAUCUUUUCCCCCUAUCAUAAAUCAUAUCUUUACUAACAGUUUAUAGCUACCACAUCCAAGGAAGGCAGCAGGCGCGCAAAUUACCCAAUGCCAAUACGGCGAGGUAGUGACCAUACAUACUGAUACAGAGCUCUUUUGGGUUUUGUAAUUGGAAUGAGUACAAUCUAAAUCCCUUAACGAGGAACAAUUGGAGGGCAAGUCUGGUGCCAGCAGCCGCGGUAAUUCCAGCUCCAAUAGCGUAUAUUAAAGUUGUUGUGGUUAAAAAGCUCGUAGUUGAACCUUGGGCUUGGCUGGCCGGUCCGCCUCACCGCGUGUACUGGUCCGGCCGAGCCUUUCUUUCUGGGGAAUCUCAUGCCCUUCACUGGGUGUGCAGGGGAACCAGGACUUUUACUUUGAAAAAAUUAGAGUGUUCAAAGCAGGCCUAUGCUCGGAUACAUUAGCAUGGAAUAAUGGAAUAGGACGGCAGUUCUAUUUUGUUGGUUUCUAGGACCGCCGUAAUGAUUAAUAGGGAUAGUCGGGGGCAUCAGUAUUGAAUUGUCAGAGGUGAAAUUCUUGGAUUUAUUCAAGACUAACUACUGCGAAAGCAUUUGCCAAGGAUGUUUUCAUUAAUCAGUGAACGAAAGUUAGGGGAUCGAAGACGAUCAGAUACCGUCGUAGUCUUAACCAUAAACUAUGCCAACUAGGGAUCGGAUGGUGUUUCAUUU